rnacentral:rRNA from 2 species
UGGGGAAUCUUGCGCAAUGGGCGGAAGCCUGACGCAGCAACGCCGCGUGGGGGAUGACGGCCUUCGGGUUGUAAACCUCUUUCGCGAUCGACGAAGGCCCACUUUCUGUGGGUUGACGGUAGGUCGAGAAGAAGCACCGGCCAACUACGUGCCAGCAGCCGCGGUAAUACGUAGGGUGCGAGCGUUGUCCGGAAUUAUUGGGCGUAAAGAGCUCGUAGGCGGUGUGUCGCGUCGGCCGUGAAAACCUGGGGCUCAACUCUGGGCGUGCGGUCGAUACGGGCAUCACUUGAGUUCGGCAGGGGAGACUGGAAUUCCUGGUGUAGCGGUGAAAUGCGCAGAUAUCAGGAGGAACACCGGUGGCGAAGGCGGGUCUCUGGGCCGAUACUGACGCUGAGGAGCGAAAGCAUGGGUAGCGAACAGG